UACGAAGGGGGCUAGCGUUGCUCGGAAUCACUGGGCGUAAAGGGUGCGUAGGCGGGUCUUUAAGUCAGGGGUGAAAUCCUGGAGCUCAACUCCAGAACUGCCUUUGAUACUGAGGAUCUUGAGUUCGGGAGAGGUGAGUGGAACUGCGAGUGUAGAGGUGAAAUUCGUAGAUAUUCGCAAGAACACCAGUGGCGAAGGCGGCUCACUGGCCCGAUACUGACGCUGAGGGACGAAGCCUUGGGUAACGAGAAGG
rnacentral:rRNA from 1 species